AGCCGCCGCCGCAGCCCGCCUGGCUUCCCGUGAGGUCUCCCUGGGAUCGGGAGUGAGAGAAGCAAACUCUGAAGUUGUGCCCGAAGAAAAGUUGCCCGACUAGAGAAGUCGGAGGGAUCCCGAGUGUCGCCACCCGCUCAAUCCUGUUUGGUCCUGGGUUCUUCCUGCUUUUUCUGCAAACCCAGGGGAAGGGCAGGGUUUGCCUAAGGAAGCUUGCCGUAGUCUUAUGCAGACAAGGGAAGAAAGGAAACGACACGUCUUCAGAGCGGCACCUCGCCUUGUUUAGUCUUCUCAUCUCCUGGCCAGGGUUGGAAUGGAGGCUGAGGGAGGCCUGAGCAGUGCUGGUGCCGGCUCUCCCCAGUCGUAGCCCCUCCUAAAGAAAACACGUCUGAGCCCUCGUGGUGAAGAACCAAACCCAACAAAAGUUGGAUCUUUUUCGGAGAGGGGCCGGGGGCGCCGAGCCCGGCGACUCCGUUCGCGGAGCGCUCGACAGCGGCGGAGCGCUCGCCGCGGCUGGGACUUGACCUGCAGAGGGCAAUAGUUGGACGCAAAUGCCAACAAAGGCAGCGGGGCUCGCUGGCUCGGCGCCGCGGCCGGGACCCGAGAAUGCUGUGUAGCCCACAUUCAUCUGAGAGGCGAUCGCCGGGGACAUGGGAAGCAGGAGCAGCCGCCGAUGUGUGAAAGCAACGAGACAUGGCCAGCCAGAGGCGCCGGGGUCCCUUCACGGGGUUUGUUAACAUGGUAAUCCGGCACCAGGAGAGAAAGCUGCUUUCUGCUGCCUAGAGCCCAUUCCCCACCACACAUCAGAUGACUCCCUGGCUUUACACACAGUUGGAGUUCUGCUCGAAACCUGGAUUUAAAGGGAAUCUGUUGCUGCGUAUGACACCUCUCGCAAGCUCCCAGAGAGAAUUGAUGGAGCAUACAGCUAGGGAAUAGGAUACCAGAGAAGCACAGAGAAAGAAUCCAGGCAAUCAUCAGGAUGGGAAGGUUCAGCGUCCACUGGAUAUGGGACAAGAUCGCUUGGCAACCCUUGUGGAUUCUCCUUCUUCUGGAGGCGAAUUAUAGUUAUGGAUUUAUUGUCCCGGUGCAGCACUUCCACCAGCAGCAGCAACAGCAGCAGCUUUCUGACUCUCUUCGGUGACGGGUAUUCUUGGGUGGAUAAUACGGAUUACGUUGUUAUUGCUUAAGAAUACGCGUAGUCGAGGAGAGUACCGGCGGCGGGCAGGCAGGCAGGCAGCGCGACCGCCCCCAGCCCACCAGCUGGCUCCUCACCUCCUCUAGUUGCCAAGAUGUUUGCUCUGCCAGAUUUGACCACAGGAAUAUGAGGCCAAUGGGCUGAGCCUCAUGAAGCAGAGAAGAGAAGCAGUUAGCCUGGAGUUUGCAUCUUCCAUCAUUUCCAAGGGCGAGGCAGAAAACUGGUUUCUCCCUGGGUGAAGUCAACCAAAGAGGAACUGUGCCUUCAAGGAGGUGGGAAUGUGUGAAUGCCAAUGGUCUUUGUCAUUAACCAGCUCUCUUCAAGCUGGCUGAGGAGCUGACAGGAUCUGUCCAUUCAAUCUCGCCUUCAAGAGACAGGAACAAAAUCACCACUGUAACGUUUUGGCAAAGCAAAAUGUUUUGUUUGCUGGCAGGGGUUUAACUCACGUGCAGCCCUGCUGCCCUCUUAGGAUGGCAAAGAAAGAGGCUUUGCAAGUCAAAUGCUGCCUGCCUCACCAGCCUGUCUUCCCCCAGUGAUGAAGUGCUCCAGCAUCAGAAGUCACCUUCUGUGUUCAGCUGAGCUCAACUGGAGUCAUGCUCUCUGGCUGUGCUGUUAAGUGGCUCUGAAGAUGUUACAGGUGCAGGGCCGUGCUGCUGUAUUUCAAGUGAUCAUAAAAACUCACUGGAUAAAUUGAAAAAGUGUGACUUUUCAUUGUAGCAAGCUUGGACUGGAUAAGCAACUCCAUCACUGUGCUAAGGCAGCAGAUGCAGUCAGUGUUUGGAGGAAAUGGUUCAUGACCUGAUGAUGCUUUCCAAGAGAUUCAAUGAGGGAAAAAAGAUGCUGGAGGCUCCUCAUGUCAGAGUAACACUGGUGGGACAGGCAAGGGAAGCAGAAGGAUCAGACAGUGGGAGAGGAUGAACAGAAAGGUGCAACGCAAGCAGAAAACCCCUUUGCCGUGCUUCAGGCUCAAGAUGUGGGACAAAAAGCAAUAGCUUCAGGAAAAGCCCUUUCCUGAAGAUCAGCCGAGCAUGCCAGGAGGGUGCUGCAGCCAUUGUCUCUGCAACCAAAGUGAGGAGCAAAGCCACAAUAUGAUCUGGAUCACCCUGAGAGUUGGGUCCGAUGGGUCCCCCGAACCAGGGAAGGCCCUCAGGCCCUCUCCCCACAUGGGGAUUCACAACCAGCCGGGACAGGGUGCCAUUGGAUGCUGGAAUGGACACUCCCCACAGAAGCAUCACAUCAAAGCUGGUCCUUAGCCAAGCAAACGUGGGUGGGCUGUUCCUGGAGUGUUUGGGUCAGUCCCAGCUAGCCCUGGGACUAGGGCUCUGUGGGCUCUGGCCCCCGAGCUGUGACCUGAGGAGGGCCCAGGGUGGAGGGCCAGGAUGCUGCCCAGGGACUGCACCCUGAGGAAGGGCAGCUGUGAAUCUUGGCAAAAGCCAAGCUGGUCUUGCACAAAUUCUCUGGUGGUUCAGGCUGGCCAAGUUAAACAUGUCCCUUACCCUGGCUUUGUCACAGCUCUGACAGAAGUCCCAGGUGUGGGUCAGAGCUGCCCCUGCACAGGGCACUUGCUGGGGCAGGAAGGGUGUGCAGAGAUGCAGCCUGGCGCUGCCAGGGCUUGGCCAUCAUGCUCCUACAUGGGUGACUCACUGAGGAGCCCCUUGGGCAGCAGGUGCACACAGCCUCUGUUCCCUCUGAGCCAAUCCAUACAGAGGCUGUGCUGGGCAGCCAUGCCGGAGCCAUGGCUGCUCCCUGGAAGGAGAGAGAGAUCAGAGAGGGAAGAGUGUGGACUGGGAGAAGGGUAAUAAAGGGGCUGAGGUUGAUAUGCUGCUGUUGUGAGCUGCAUUACCUGACAGGACUUGCCCCUUGCCAAGGGUAGGUCAUCUUUCCUUUGACUCAAGAGGGUGUUGGGGGUGUGUUUGCUAGGCCCAGAAACCAGUCACUGCUGCAUGGGUCUUUACAUGGUCUGUUGUGGUAUGUUCUGCUGCCAUGUGAUCUAUCAUGCUGCAAUUUCUAUUUAAUUGUUUACAUGAACUCAGGCUCUUGCUGUCUUGGGGGAAUUUCACCUAAGUAAGCAUUGGGAAGAUUUACCUUUAUUCAUAUCAUAGCACCUUUGACAUAGUUUUUUGCUGUAUUACUUUGUUUAGGUCCUUUUUAAAGAAGUUAAUAAAGCUGGCAGCACAACUCCAUUGACUCUCAGCAGAAGAGCUCUCUCAUUCCUGAGGUCCCUUUCAUAACCAGUUAUAUUAGCACCCUUCGUUAGCAUCCUCGUUAGCUUUUCUCUUCAGCAUUACCACGCAAUGUGCUUUCUUUUGUAGUACCUAAAGCUUGUGAGAUAACUCAGUUUGCCUCCCAGUGGGGCAGAAGGUAUCUGUAAUCUGUGUUUCGUGUCUUGGGUCUCUUGAAAGGACUAGAAAUCCCAAAUGCAGUAACUUGUGGGUUUUCUGUCUUAGAGAAUUAGGAUGUCUUUGCAUUACUGAGCAGGCAAACAGUGAGCAGUGCUUGAUCAAUAAGAGGCAUUGCCAGAGGUCUGCUAUAGUCUGCCACAGCUGACGGUAAGUGUUGCUAUAGGCUAUGGAACUAGGAAUAUAAAAUGUCAAAUGACAGUAAUAAUUCAUGCAUCCUGGGACAUAUAAAACCAACAGCAUGUCAAUAGCUGUGGCAUGCUCUGCAGAAAAUAUGCAGGAUUUAGACGUUGCAGGAGUCUGUUUUAUUUUAAACCACACUUUCCUUGGUGAAAUAUAGACUUUCCCUGUUUGUUAAAAGCAUUUAUUCUCAGUUUCAUGUUGCUACUUCUCUAUUAACAUUCUAAGAGCCACACAGCUCAAAAGGGGCCCUGAGAUUCAAAAAGCAAAAUAUAUGUAUUUACUGAAGAAAACACAUAAAAUAUUUAUAAAACAGAGGGUGCAAUACUAUUUGAGAUUCAUGGACCAUUUCAGCAUUCAUAAAAGCAAAUAUGGUUCUAGUAUUGGCUUCACCUGGAAUCAGACUUUACUGGAGAGGUUACCCAGGAGAGACCUGCCUUAAAAUGAAACUUAUUACGAUCAUUAAUUUUACAUGGAAAAUCAUUACAUUUUACAUGGGAAGCAGAAUGUCUUGUGAAAUAAGUAAGAAUUUCUCCAAUAUUCAUCUUCUUUAAAAAUACUUCAGGAUAAUUAAUAUCACUUUUCUUUUACUGAAAGAUAUGAAGAAGAUGAAUUACUGCAUCUGGGAGGGCACAGCAGGCAUAAGAGGAAAGAUUGUGUGUAUCUGAUACUUGUUUUCCCCUGUGCCCCUGCUGCUUGGGAACCUAAAAGUGAAGGGUGCUGUUUUACUGGCUAAGGCUCCCACAAAAAUUCUUCAGAUGAAACUUUAAUGAGAGAAGGGUAAAAAUAUAUUUGAGCAGCCCCAUUCUUAUGCUUUCAGCUGUUUGCUCCUGAGCACCUCAACUGUGGGUUGUCAGGCCUCAAUUUCUGUAAAUUUGCUUGAAAGUAGAAGGGCAAGACAGAAAAGUUGCAUGUCCCUCAUGAUUAUAUGAAUAUAGGGCUUAAUGUAAACGUAAUACUUCUAAAAGAAUGUAAAAUAUUAACUGAAAAAAGAAAGAAGGCAAAGCAUCACAAAGAAAUCCACUACGCAUUAUUUAAAUCUCCCCCUGUGAGAGGCUGAGGAUUUAAACGCAUACAGUUGUCUGCUCUUCCAUGUGACAGCAACCCCUCUGCUUUAGAGUUGCACAGUCCUGGCUCUCAGUGGUCUACUUGAGAAUUUUUUUAAAAGUUAUAUAUUAAAAAAAAGUCUUAAAUAUAGUUUCCAUUCUUUGAAGACCAUAAAGUGAUUUUGGGGCAGUGGACUGUACCUGUGUAGACAGGCACUAAUAGAUAUAUUGGCACAUCUUGCUGAAGCUAGCUUGAUAUGGAGAUGAUUAAAAUAAAUAAAAAGCAAAAUUAAUCCUGCUAACUGUCUGAGACCUAAGAAAAGGGAUGUCUUUGUUCUGACGAGAACAUCUUGGCUCGUUCUGCUCCUUUGGCUUGGUUUGGGGAGGAUGUAUUUAACAGUCCUCCCAUGAUACUUGGCAAAUAUAAAGCUGUCACAUUGGAUCCUGCUUCUCUUUGUAUUAAAAGAAUGUCUAUGGUGUUUAUGUUGUGGGAAAAAAGCACUAUUUCUACUUAUUGUAUUUUCAUUGUCUCUUUUCUUAUGACUGUACUGUUUGCCAGCAGCCAAGGGGGCACUUUGAUGCUUGCUUUGAUGCCAUGGUUUAUUGUGUCGCACAGUUGAGACUAUGGUUUUCCUUUCAAAUCAGAGCUGGCAUACUGGGUGAAAAAAAACCAAACCAAAAAUAAAGCUUUUCUAUAAUUAUGGUUAUCUCAUAAAGUCUGCAUUUGUUACAGCUGCUGGGGUGUUGGAAAUCAGUGUUUGUAAAUACCUAUAUAUUCUGAUUUGUUUUCAGCCUCAGAGAUGUUUUUGUCUGUCUGUGUUCCUCACCCCUGGCCAUUCAUGCAAGCAGCCUUCCCUACCUGCACGCCGAGCUGCACUGCCUCGGGAAGAUACCAGCCUGUUACCCAGCUUAUCUGCAUGGUACAACUUCACCUUGUUCCCUCCUCUCACUCUGAGGGAUUAGCAUCCAAAGAAAACCAAAUUAGUCUGGUAUCAAUUCAGCCAGGAAAGCGAGUAGCCAAAGGGACCAGAACGCUCCUGCUGGCAGGACUGAGUGCAGAAGGAGGCUGGCAGGGCGUGCUCUUUGUGUGCUGCCCAGCUCCACCACGCUCUCUCAGAGCCCCACGGGGACGCCCUGGGUCCUGCUGGGGGGAACCAGACCCUCCUGUGCCCACAGGAAGCCUCACUUGCUGGCUCCAUGCUCCAUGUGACCGUGCCAGUUAGGAUGUGUAUGAUGCCUGCUUGGAUGUGUCUGUUGCUUUUCUCCAUGUGUCUUGUGGUCAUCUGAGAACUGAUGAGGAACCAUUCUGUUUCCAUUUUGCUGAUGGAAAAGGAGAGCCUUUGAGAGGCUGAGUGAUUUGUCCAGGAUUAUGCAGCAAAUCAAUGGGAGAAAAGGGGAUCAGGCCAUUCCACACAGGAGUGCCUUUAACUGUCCCAUGGGCUUUCUAGGGAAAGGCAUGCAGGUCCCCAAAGAGGCCUCUUCCAGCAGUGUUCCUCCAUUAUUUCUGUCAGAUUAUUGCUGUGAACAGUGGAGAAAUGCAAAAUGUAUUAUUCAUUUCUCCUACUCCUAAAAUCAAUAGCUAUCAAAAUACAAAAACAAUUUAAAUCAAAAGGCACUUAUUGAGUGCAGAUCUUACUAAUUAGGUAUGAUUUCCCAACAAUUUCUUAAAUUAUUUAUCCAAGGGAUGGGUGAAAGGCACUUUAUAUGUCCCAGAGUGAAUAUUAUAAACCUCUUGUCAUGAUACAGAAAAUGUGAAAUGUGGUGCAAUGCAGUGUGAUUUGUAACCUUGAUGAACUAAUGUAAUAUCAAUAGACAUCAAUCUGUGUAAAAAAAAAUCCGUCUCAUCAUAACAUCUAACAAGAUAUGUCAAAAGUCAAUAACCUUGUGAAAUGGACACGUAUCAGUGAAAGUUACAGACUUUGCUGCUAGGAAUCAAUUAAAAAUGUAAUACCCACUUGCAAUGGAAAUUACUACACCAUCACCAAAAAGGAGGUUUACAUCAUGCAUGGACAUUUGUCAUAAGGGCAGCUCCCUUUAGGCUGGCUGUUGGCUCUGUAAGCAAUUGCACUUUAAUAGAUGGCUUUUUGUUUUUUUUUUUCUUAUGCUGCUAUUGCUUAGUUUAGCCCCAUAACCAACAUGCAAAAGAUAUUUAUGCCACAUCCAGUUAAAUAUAUUUUUAAAACCCAACAGAAAAGAGCCAAUGGUUUUGAAGAUUUUUGUGUAAAAAUUAGUAAGCAGCUCUCCUGUUAAAUGAAAGAUUUACAAUUUUCAGUCAAAAAUGUACAUCAAUGUUCUUCAAUUUUUAAUAAUAAGGAUUUUUCUCAAGCUUCUUUGGAUCUUAAUUUUCAAACUUAUACUUCCCAUCCAUACAGCAGAUCUUAAGGCUCCACCACAGCAACAUUGUGUCAAGUGAAAUUCUUGGUUCCAUCAUAUAGGUGUGAUACCCACUCACCAAAUGCUUUCAAUCAGUGAUUUAAAAGAAGAGUAUAAAAUAUUAUAUAUGUUUUCUCCUCAAUUUUUGAAACCAAUUGAUAAAAUAUUCACUUUUUAGGCAUUUUACUUUGCCAAUGAAAUCUGAUAGUAAUUUCAGGGCAAGUGUAACUUUGAGGCCAAAACUAAGGAUUUGAAUGGGAAGGGAGGUCCUAUGGCUUCAGAAACAGCAGUAUGUGAGGGGCUGAAGUAAAACUAUCAGAGUAAUUCAGAGCUUAAACUUUUAUUUUGGUGCUUUCUUGUGUAGCCUUAAUGAUGAUCAGCUCCCAGGAAAGCCAUCAGGAGCCUGAGCAAAAAGCUGCAGUGGUCCAAAGUGCCUGUGUGGUUCAGCUGCUGCAGGCAGCCCACAAUGGCUCUGCAGCACUUCAGUGCAAUUGUACAACCUGGGAUUCAAGGCAGAGCCAUAACUCAGAAUUUCAUGGCAUUUUAAAGCACAAGUCAGAAUUUUAAUGGUAUUUCAACCUUCCUUAUUAGUUGCACAAUAAGUGUCUUUCAGCCAGUGUUCUGCAAAUUCCUUCCUGGUGGUCUGCAAAAGACACGGCUUGAAAGCCAGAGCAGGGGAGGUGAAUGCUGGGUGUGUGGAAAUGGAUCUUGAAUUGAUGGGAGGAAUAAGGGAUUCUGAAAAAGCACUGCAAUAAGAUGGCACGGGAUAAUAAGGGUAGUAGCGAAAAGUUUAAAAAAGCAUGCCAUGGUUAAAUUGGAUAUAUAGGAUAAAUUCAACUUCAGUUACUCAGCUAUCCUGCUUGUAUUUUUGUUGGUUUUAAUUAAUGAAAGUUUCUCUGGCAGGUAUGAAAGCAAAGUUCAAUCUCAGAGUGUUUGAAUUAGAACUCCUAGUUGCAUCAAGUGAAACAGGCAAUGCUACAUUUAAUGUUUUGCAUUUUCUCAUUCUAUUUAAAUGUGAAUGAGUAUCUGGAAGGAAUAUCCAACAUUGCAGAUACUGUUUAGUGAUAUAUUCUUCUUAUCUUCUUUUCUUCUGUCUAAUGCUUUUCAUACAUGCUUAAAAAGUGUGCGAUUGUCUGUCUGAUUGUACAUUAGUGACUGCAAAGGUUACCUAAAUUGAGACCAUGGACUAAUUUUAUUUCAAAUGCAGGGUAGAAGCACAUCUGUUUCAAACAGAUUUGUGAAAUGCCUUUUGUGACUUCAAAUCACAUACAGUAAUGACCACUUAAGUGAGCUCCUACACACACAACAACUCAUUUGCAACAGUGCUAACAAAUGUAUCUAUAAAAUGUCAUUUGCAUUUUGGUGUUCUGAAAUAGGCUCGUCCUCUCCAUUGCCCUGGAAAAUUCAGCCCUCUGUUAUUAUGUAGAGGAUACUGAAGAAAAGCAUGUGUUCUUCCUCAUGGAGGUUGUGUUAGCUACUCUAUAACUGUACUUGAUAGAUAUUUUGUAUUUUGCUUGGGUCUCCCUUUGAGAGAGACAUAACAUUUUUUGAGUUGUUAACUAACACUGUUUUCUAGCCAUGAAUUGUUAUAAUUAUAUAAGAUUAUGAAUAUAAUUGAGGUAAUAAAACCAAAGCAAACAGUCUAGAUUAUAUCUCUGGAUUGUAUUCAUAGGUCAGAAGUGUGUGGUUUUGCUGAAUAUCACAUUGAUUUCAGAAGAGUAUCGUUCGGAAAUGAUCACACCAGCUGAGGGCCUAUACCUUACCUAUGAGCCUACAUCAAACAGCUCACUUUGCCUUUUUCCACAGAUUUCCUUUCCAAAGAUAAAGGUGUGUACAGCCUCCAGGUAUCUACAGUGGGCAAACUGAAAGUAAACAAAUAGAAAUAUGUUCAUGCAACUAAUUUCUACUGUAAAUGAUUUUGUUUUAAACAGUGGAAGGAUCAAAGAAAAGCUUUGCAGAACAGCUUCUCCAUCAUGGAGCUGGGGUGGCAGAGGAUUGCAGUAGUCCUGCCUGGCCUCUGCUGAGAUGCAAUCUGUCCUGCACUUGUCCUGUGAAGCAGGAAAGUGUUAUUAUAUUUAAUUUUCAGACAGAAAGCUAAGACAUGGACAGAAACCAUGGAACUUGUCUGCACACCUAAGGGAACUCUGCAGAAGCUGAGGAGUUGAAGAAAGCUGUGUGGAGGGCACGGCUAAUAACCUAAACCAUUAGACCAUUCUCACAAAAUCUGUGUUGCCAAAUCUGUUGCCACUGAAAUCUGAAAUCAAACAUUAGCAGCCAAGAACAUCAUGCUAAUUAAUUGCCUCAGGAGGACACAAUUUCCAAGAUCUAAUGAAAGAUGGAAUCCAGCUUCCAUAUGUCCCAUUUUAUAGCCCAAGAAAACACGCACACAUUUUUCAAAGAAACAGUGACAAAUGUCCAAGUACUUGUCUCUCAGCUGAAUAAAACUAAUCACCAGGCCCGGGGAUAGAAAUGGCUGCUCAUCAGCACCUAGCCUGAAAAGCCAGCCCAGGAUGUCGCUGACAAACCAUUUUCCUUCAGAAUGUUGAAGGCAGCUUCAGAAGGUGACAGCUGAGCACCAGAGCACCUCUGUUCUGCCCACAGAACAGCAUUACUCCUGCCUUGUCAUGGUGCUAGUUUAUUUAAAAAAAAUAAUAAUUAGGAACAAAAAAAGUUAGCAUGUCACAUUCUUGACAAAAUAGUGGGGAGAAGGCAGAGGUAUCAGUAGUCACAGAUACGUGCCAGGGCUGCCUUGCAGUGCUAUAAGCUUGUCCUUGCUUGAACUUGACAUUCCUGUAGAUGGGAUGUCUGUGCCAGAAUGGCAGUGGUGCACAGCCCCAGGGACACAGUGGGGGCUGGAGAGCCUCAGCACUCCCAGAGAGGCAGGCCUGCCUGGCUGUGGAAGCAGAGCCCCACUGGGAAUGUCCUAGCUCUGUGCGGCUCUGAGGCAUACGGAAUCGUUCAGCCAGCUUAAAGACAUAAUGUUUCUUUUAAAUAUUUAUUGUUUGAAGGAUCCUUACAUGCAUGAGAAGAUCUGUACUAUGUAAAGACCACAUGCUGUUGUGGCUGCACUCACAGUCUGCCACGUUUCAGGGGAUGCAGGAAUCACCUCUGUGUGUCCUGCUCCCACUCCUGCUUGGCUGGUGUGAGGUGUUUCACACAAUGCCCAGGUUUGGUUGGACAGAGUUGGAUGAUCAGCUUGUUGUAGCAGACCUGGCCAUGAGGCAUGAACAUCUUUUGCUUGCCACAGCAACAGCCCCAGCCUGAGUGCCAUGCUCAGAGGACGGUCGGGAAUGUGUCGGUGCCCAGCGAGCAGCCUGGGAGGCCCAGUGCAAACAGGGGAGGAACACAGUUAUAGAGCAGGGCUGUGACAGACCUUGGUGUCCAACCCAGGGUUUCUGAGUGACCCCUUAUCCACACAAACAUCAUUAGUAUUUGCUAAGGGGUCAAUUCUUGGAAGCAUACAACAUUUUCACUUUUCUCUUUCACCCUUUACAUAUGAUUCAUGUGAAACUUCUAAUCUAAAAAGAGUAUCUUGACACUGUUUAGUAAAAAUGGGCCUGAGGAAAGCAGUACAAAUUGCACAGCAAAUUUUCACUCUAAAUGUUGAAGAAAAUAUAUUUUAUUCUGUCUAUCCGGAGGAGAUUAAAGAAAAAAAUAAGAAGGUCAAGGUAAGUAAUUGUAGCACACCAUCUAUUGUGUAUUUCCUCAAGAUCACUCCAGUUGUACAGAAUAAUGGCAUUUCUGAACUUCAGUAACUUCUACCACACAAAGGCACAGCAUUUUGACAGGACUCAGUAAAUCAUUUAAAAUCAUAAGGGCCAUUAUGCAGACUGUGUGAUAAAGUUAGAGACAGGGUAUUUUUCUGCAAUUGGUCUUCAAUUUCCCUCUAGAUUUUAGGUGACAUAAAGCUCAAAAGGAGCUCCUAGUGCUUACUCUCUCAGAGAUGAGAUCAACACUUAUGAGGACAUGUUUUGAUGACACAGCUCAGAAAAUUGAAGGGAUUAUUAUUAUGGAAGGACCAAGGUGAUAAGUACUGUGUUAUUUAUGAAUAACUGUCAGUCAGACAAGCCAAGAAAGGUCAUAAUCCAUUAUAUUAAUGUCAUAAAUGUUAUCAUAAACUGACAUCAGGAGGGUAAACUGGGAUUCUUGCACUUUUUAAAGUGCUGCUGUUCUUAAAUGACACUGUCCUGGAAAGACAUGUUGAUACUAAUUUUGCUCUCAAAAUAAAAGACUUAAAAGAUUUUCAGCAAAACAGAAGUAGUAUUUUACAUUUUUUGGGGGGGGGGGGUUUAAACUUUUUGUUUUAAAGGAACUGACUGAAUUAUCACAACAGUAUCCAAGAUACUAUGAACAGAUGGGAGAGGAAAGACCCAAUAAUUUCUGAAUAUUUACUGUCCCCCUUUGCUUUAUUUGGACUGUAACUUUCACUGUAACUAAAACACCCUCUGGGGGCCACUCUAGCUGAGGAUAAGAGAAACAAGAAGGCAGAGGUGGAAGCUCCUGUCCUGGCUGCUGACUGUCCCAAGUCAGAACUGCACCUUGCUGUAAUUCACUCCCUUGACAUUAGUAUUUUUCCCAUAUCAGAUAUGAACUGUGAUGAUACUCAGGAAUGUAUGACAGUGAAAAAAGACAAUUUUAUGUCUUUUGUGUUGCUGAGCAUUUUGAUGCUCACAGAGAGCAGGCAGCUCAGUGAAUGUUACCAGUGCAUGGCUCCUCUGAAUUACCCUGGGCUCCCAGAGGAGGAUCCCCAGGAUUCAAAUGAGACUUUGUUCUUGCCAGCACCACAGGGUGCUCCAUCCAUUGCUGACCAGUUAUGAGCCAGCAGUAAAUUACUGUCACUUAUGUAAAGCUGCUCCCAGAACAGGCUCCCAGGUGAGAGUAAGGGAGGUGAACUCUGAGCCCAGGCAAUACCAAGGCCUUGUGUCCACACUCACUAACAUUGCAAAUUCUAUAAACAAACGGUGUAAUGCUGAAAUGUGGGUGCAUCAGGGGCGAAACAACUGGACCACUCAUUUCCAGCUUUGGGGAGAACGCCAUGAUAAACUCCAGAAAUGCAAGAGGAAUUUAAGCCCUACAGCCCAAGUUUCCUGGACUAGCCCACCUUCCUUCCUGCCUCGCCAAAUGACUCAUGGAAAGCUGUUGAUCUUCAGUCUAUGGAGACAAUCUAACAUCAGCAACUUUCUGGGGGUGCAGCUACAAGGUGAGCCUCGGACUCUGCCUAUGGUCUGUGCUCCCAGAUGACAGCCCCGCGAUGGCAGAUGGAGGGACAUGCUGGCACUGCAUCCUUUGCUGCUCCCAGAGCUGCCACACGCCAUGGGACCCCAGCUGCUGGAUGCCUGACCCAGCUGGACUGCUGCUGGAGAUGUGCUGGGGCUGGCUCAGCCCUGCUUGCUGCUGCCUGUCUGCCUCAUUCUUCUGAGUUAUGCCCCAGCCUGCUCCUGCCCUGUUGUGCUGCUGCCUCCAGGCUGUGUUGAGUUUUCAAUUAUCACAAUAUUCAGUGCAGAUGCUAUGCAAAACAGCCAGUGAGGCUGAGCACGCUGAACUCAGGAGAAUCACAGUUAAAUAAAAGUACUGCUAUGAUACCAGGAGGCUGAUUGGAACCACAAGAUACCAGUGUUGUAUCCUGUGGCUUUUAUGUUGGUAGACGUAGAUUUCAGCCAUUAGAGUCUAGCUAUCCAACAGAUAACAACUAGAGGAAAUGGAUUUAGGUAUCUUCAGUUGUGAGUAACUGAUCCACAUUUGCCAAUAAAUGCAGAACCUGGUAAACUGCAGAAGAAAGAAAACAUUUGAGAUACCUACAAAUACAUCCUGGGGUAGCAUCUAACUGUGUGCAACUUAAACUCCCUGAACACAAAAUACACUCAAAGUGGUACAUCAAGAGAGCUCUGACUUCAGAGAAACAAUGUGUGGUUACUUGUCAACCCCAAAUUCAGGCAAGCAAACAACCAGCAAGGGUAGGUCUCAACUUCUCUAUUUGUACAUGCAGUAACAAGCUCCCAGAUGAUAAUGAUAUUGUGAUACCCCCAUAUGUGGGGGUAAAAGACUAUGAAAAAAGAGAAAGAAAUAAGCAAUAAAUACAAUAAUGUCAAACUUUCCUGUUAUUAACUUCUAGAAAAGCCCAACAGCUGGAAUUUUAAAAUGUUUUACAUAGACAAAUGUAAAGAGAACAACACAUCGAGUGUGGUUUUUUCCAAAGGAAAAUGAAAUAGGCAUACAGAGAAAAUUAUUAUAUUUAGUACUCUUAGGGCAAAUUCUGGUUAAGGACUACGAAAUAAUUUGAAAAUAUUAAUGAUUUAGCCUCACAGCUAGCUUUUAGGGAGAUAAUAAUGAUAAUUAUUACUGUAAAUAAAUAGUAUUAUUAUCAUUCUUAUUCAGAAGAAUGGAGUAUUGAUGCAUAGAAAAUUCCGUAUUUGUCCAAAAUACAGAAUAUAUUUGUUUGUGUUUUACUACUAUAACCAUCCUUCUCAAGAACUAUUGUAUAUAUUAGGAUUAUCCUUUUCCAAAUACUCUUUGAUAUACUGUUCAGUUUAUCAGUUCUAAAACCCAACCAACCAAGCUUCCUUGUGAAACAGUGCCAGUCAACAUCUCCAUUUGCAUGUGAAUUCUCUAGCAGCAAGUCCUGGUUGAAAAAAAAGAAAAAAAUAAAAAAAAAAAGGAAUCAUGAAAAUCAGUACAAAAAAAUCUGUCAAGGCCCCAUCUGUGACUGGGUAUCAGAAUAUCACCAAGAAGCUCUGAGGAACAAAGUUCAUUCCAAGUCUAACACAUAGAGGAUUUUGAUCGAUGAAAUUAAUUCAGGCAGGGAGAAAUGAGAGUGCAUACCAUGAAAAACUCUGUUCCUCCACUGAGGAUCAAAGAAAAGAGGCAUCACUGCGUGUGGUCUUGGGUUUGGUGCACAAAGCCAUGCUUAAACACGACAAUAAUCAGUGUGCUCAUGUCUUGUUUUGAUAGCCAGCUGCUCCUCUGGGGAGAGCCAGGGAAUGAGGGACCUCUGGUCCUGGCAAGAUGAGGACUCCGAUUGCAUGUGACUGCUGCAAAAAGCAAGAUUUACAGCCAGCUACCUGAAGCAGUAUGGAAACAAAAUUAUAGUCUCCACCCUGGCCUUGAAAAUCCCUCUACAAACAUGUUUAUUUCCUUCUGAAUGGGAAUAUGUAAAGGCUGGGGACACUUAUUUGUAGGCUAUUUUUAUAUCUCCUCUUCAGGAUCUGAAUCUUGCAUAUUAAUGAACUACAGGAAAUAGGAAAACCAAACAUUAACACCAUUCUAAUGCAGCAUACUAUUUUUCUUUCCCUUUUUUAAACUGUUAGAGUAUGCAAAUGUUCAGUUAACUGGUCCUUAUGUUUUCUCUUUAUUGAAUUGCUUUCACUAUGGCAAAUAAAUAUUCAUAAAGAAAUGUGGACAAUAAAUCAUUUCAAAUAGUUCAAAGCCA